rnacentral:rRNA from 1 species
GUAGGUGGCAAGCGUUGUCCGGAAUCAUUGGGCGUAAAGCGCGCGCAGGCGGGUCCUUUAAGUCUGAUGUGAAAGCCCACGGGCUCAACCGUGGAGGGUCAUUGGAAACUGGGGGACUUGAGUACAGAAGAGGAAAGCGGAAUUCCAAGUGUAGCGGUGAAAUGCGUAGAGAUUUGGAGGAACACCAGUGGCGAAGGCGGCUUUCUGGUCUGUAACUGACGCUGAGGCGCGAAAGCGUGGGGAGCAAACAGGAUUAGAUACCCUGGUAGUCCACGCCGUAAACGAUGAGUGCUAAGUGUUAGGGGGUUUCCGCCCCUUAGUGCUGCAGCUAACGCAUUAAGCACUCCGCCUGGGGAGUACGGCCGCAAAGGCUG